GAUGAACGCUGGCGGCGUGCCUAAUACAUGCAAGUCGAGCGAACAGACGAGGAGCUUGCUCCUCUGACGUUAGCGGCGGACGGGUGAGUAACACGUGGAUAACCUACCUAUAAGACUGGGAUAACUUCGGGAAACCGGAGCUAAUACCGGAUAAUAUAUUGAACCGCAUGGUUCAAUAGUGAAAGACGGUUUUGCUGUCACUUAUAGAUGGAUCCGCGCCGCAUUAGCUAGUUGGUAAGGUAACGGCUUACCAAGGCGACGAUGCGUAGCCGACCUGAGAGGGUGACCGGCCCACCUGGACCUGGGAACGGGUCCAACCCCCUAGGGGGGGCAGCAGUGGGGAACCUUCCGAAAUGGGGGAAAGCCUGACGGAGAAACCCCGGGUGGGGGAUGAAGGUUUUCGGAUCGUAAAACCCUUUUAUUAGGGAAGAAAAAAGGUGUAAGUAACUAUGCCCGUCUUGACGGUACCAAAGCAAAAAGCCACGGCUAACUACGG
rnacentral:rRNA from 1 species